rnacentral:rRNA from 1 species
UAGCUUGGGAAUCUGGCUUAUGGAGGGGGAUAACUACGGGAAACUGUAGCUAAUACCGCGUAGAAUCGGAAGAUGAAAGUGCGGGACCGCAAGGCCGCAUGCCAUGAGAUGAGCCCAAGUGGGAUUAGGUAGUUGGUGGGGUAAAGGCCUACCAGGCCUGCGAUCUCUAGCUGGUCUGAGAGGAUGGCCAGCCACACUGGAACUGAGACACGGUCCAG